ensembl:lncRNA
UAGAGGGGCGUUUGCGGUGAGGAUGGUUAAAGGAGGAUGAAAAUGGGCUGAGGGCUAGGGACCAGGAACUCUCUGAGUCCUGGAGGAAGCAAAUCCUUAAUGAACUCUAACCAGUGGCAGCUUCACAAUUGAUCAGUCUGAUGUGUUUCAGGUGGUGGCACAGACCUGCCAGAGCCAGCUGCUACUACUGCUGCUGCUAAGUCGCUUCAGUCGUGUCCAACUCUGUGCGACCCCAUAGACGGCAGCCCAGCAGGCUCCCCCAUCCCUGGGAUUCUCUAGGCAAGAACACUGGAGGGGGUUGCCAUUUCCUUCUCCAGCCAGAGCCAGCUGGGGAACCCCAAACCAUUCUGCCCUGGUGCCUGGAGAAGCAGCGUCUGAUGGAGGGUCAAGCACCACCAGAGGCAGCGCACGGAGCAGAACAGUAACGGGUUCUUGUAUCAACAUUCGUCAGACACCUACCCUGUGCUGAGAGCUGCACAAAGCUGGCUACCGAAUCGAACCCUGGAAGUGCCUCUGAACAGGAGUCAGAGGAUGGAGAAACACAUCAAGGACCCUCAGAUUCCAAGACCCCAGGCUGUGAGAGCUUUCUGCAAAGCAGCAGGUGGGUGGUGCCUGAUGAGUCUUGAUCCUGGCUGUGCCCUACUCAAGGCUGGCACCUAGUAGGCAUUUGGGGAACACCUCUUGAAUGAAUGGGCUGAAUGUGAGAGUAAAUGCUACCCAGUCCAACACUUUUAUUUUAUAGGC